UGGAUUCAACUCUAAGUGUCGGUU
rnacentral:miRNA from 1 species